rnacentral:rRNA from 1 species
GACAGAGGGGGCAAGCGUUGCUCGGAAUCACUGGGCGUAAAGGGCGCGUAGGCGGGAUGUCAAGUCGGUCGUGAAAUCCCUGGGCUCAACUCAGGGGGGUCGGCCGAUACUGCCGUUCUUGAGGGAUGCAGAGGAGACUGGAAUUCCCGGUGUAGCGGUGAAAUGCGCAGAUAUCAGGAAGAACACCAAUGGCGAAGGCAGCUCUCUGGGACGGUACUGACGCUGAGACGCGAAAGCGUGGGGAGCGAACAGG